rnacentral:piRNA from 1 species
AGCCUAUUCUUUUGGAAUUGGAAGCACCA